rnacentral:rRNA from 1 species
AGUGAACGCUGGCGGUAGGCCUAACACAUGCAAGUCGAACGGCAGCACAGUAAGAGCUUGCUCUUACGGGUGGCGAGUGGCGGACGGGUGAGGAAUACAUCGGAAUCUUCUUUUUCGUGGGGGAUAACGUAGGGAAACUUACGCUAAUACCGCAUAUGACCUACGGGUGAAAGCAGGGGAUCUUCGCACCUUGCGCGUCUGAAUGAGCUGAUGUCGGAUUAGCUAGUUGGGGGGGUAAAGGCCCACCAAGGCGACGAUCCGUAGCUGAUCUGAGAGGAUGAUCAGCCACACUGGAACUGAGACACGGUCCAGACUCCUACGGGAGGCGGCAGUAGGGAAUAUUGGGCAAUGGGCGAAAGCCUGAUCCAGCCAUACCGCGUGGGUGAAGAAGGCCUUCGGAUUGUAAAGCCCUUUUGUUGGGAAAGAAAAGCAGCAGGUUAAUACCCCGCUGUUCUGACGGUACCCAAAGAAUAAGCACCGGCUAACUUCGUG